ensembl:snRNA U1 U1 spliceosomal RNA
CUACUGACCUGGCUGGGGAGAGGCCAUGAUCAAGAAUAUGGGUUUCCCAAGGUGUGGCUUAUCCGAUGUACUCUCUGGAUGUGCCAAACCCCGUGAGUAUGGGAAACGGGACUGCAUAAUGUGUGGUAGUUGGGGGAUUGUGUUUGUGCUCUCUCCUA